AUGAGCCGCAUACACCCCAACGCGGAGGCCUCCAGGCGUCUCCUGCGACACGGCGCCGGCGCCGGCGCGGCUGCCUCGGCGGCGUGCUACACGGUCUGGAUGAGGUCCAGCAUGGGCUUCCAGGGCACCGACGGCUUCUCCGUCUACGACGCCGGGGGCGAGCUGGCCUUCCGCGUCGACAACUACUCCCGCCGCCGGAAGAUCUUCGCCGGCGAGCUCACGCUCAUGGACGGCCACGGCGCGCCGCUCCUCUCCCUCAGGCCGCAGAUCAUCAGCAUGCACGACCAAUGGAACUGCUACAAAGCACCAGAAGAAGGCCAAGCAAAGAGGGCAAGAUCACAGCAGCUCUUCUCGGUGAGGAAAUGCUCGGUCCUGCAGAACAACCGUGAAGCAGAAGUUUACAUGUCUUCAGCCUGCACCACCACCACCACCACCACCACCACCGACGCAUCAGCAUCAGACCAUGGCACCACUGGCCACCAGUCCCCAGGCUUCUGGAUCGAGGGCUGCUUCCGGAGGAGAAACUGCAAGAUCCGCAGGGCCCAUGACGGCAAAGAGGUGGCGAGGAUCGCGAGGAAGAAGGCGAGGACAGCUGCGACGCCUGACACGGCGCCCCUGACGCUCGGCGAGGACGUCUUCAGCCUCGUGGUGCAACCGGACGCCGAUUGCACGAUGAUCAUGGCCCUCGUCGUCGUUCUGGACCGGAUCUGCUGGAGGCCAUACACGCCGUUGAUAUGUUCUUCGUAG
rnacentral:rRNA from 1 species